CCUACGGGUGGCAGCAGUGGGGAAUUUUGGACAAUGGGGGCAACCCUGAUCCAGCCAUGCCGCGUGUGUGAAGAAGGCCUUCGGGUUGUAAAGCACUUUCGGACGGAACGAAAUCGCGCGGAUGAACAAUCCGCGUGGAUGACGGUACCGUAAGAAGAAGCACCGGCUAACUACGUGCCAGCAGCCGCGGUAAUACGUAGGGUGCGAGCGUUAAUCGGAAUUACUGGGCGUAAAGCGUGCGCAGGUGGCGCCGCAAGUCAGGCGUGAAAUCCCCGGGCUUAACUUGGGAAUUGCGCUUGAAACUACGGUGCUGGAGUGUGGUAGAGGGAGGUGGAAUUCCACGUGUAGCGGUGAAAUGCGUAGAGAUGUGGAGGAACACCGAUGGCGAAGGCAGCCUCCUGGGCCAACACUGACACUCAUGCACGAAAGCGUGGGGAGCAAACAGGAUUAGAUACCCUAGUAGUC
rnacentral:rRNA from 1 species